rnacentral:ncRNA from 1 species
GCAGAGUAAACACGACGCGUUAAGUGUUGAGGGAUGGGAUGUCGCCUUCAAACGAAAAGCGCGAGCUUGCGGUGUUGUGUUGCGUCCGCUGC